rnacentral:ncRNA from 1 species
AAAAGUUUGAUUCCUUGCUUUGUUAUUAGUUUUAUAUUUUAAAUUUAUAUGUAUAAUUUUUAAUAAUUAUCUUUCAGUAAUUAAUUUUAUUAUAUAAAAUAGGUUUUAUUUAGUUAUUUUAAAAGAAUAGAUUAAUUUUGUGCCAGCAUUCGCGGUUAUACAAUUUAUUCAAAUUAAUCUUUUAGGUUAAUAAUUAUUUUAUUUAUUAGUUUAAAAUUUUUGUACUUAAGUGGAAUUUGUAUAUUUAAUACUUACUUUAUAAGUUUUUAUGAAAUUUUAAAUUUAAACUAGGAUUAGAUACCCUAUUAUUUUUUUAUUUAAAUUUUCCGGAAUAUUAAUAGUUAUGUGCUUUAAACUCAAAGAAUUUGGCGGUGAUUUACCUUUUUAGAGGAACCUGAUUUUUAAUUGAUAAACCACGAUAAAUUAUACCUUAAACAAUUUUAUUUGUAUACCUCUAUUUAUUGGAAAAUCUUUAAAGGGUUAAAAUUUUCUUUUACUUAAAUGAAUUAUGUUAGGUCAAGGUGCAGUUUUAAUAAGGUUAAAUUGGGUUACUUAAAAAUUUAAUUAUUUAUAUUUAUUAAUUAAUAAUAAUUAUUGUUUUAAAGGAUUUAAUAGUAAUUUUAAUUAAUUAAUUAAUUUGAAUUUAGCUCUAUAUUAUGUACAUAUCGCCCGUCACUCUCAAUGAUAUGAGAUAAGUCGUAACAAAGUAGUUGUACCGGAAGGUGUAGCUAGAUAGUC